UAUAUUAAGAUGUAAUGAUGCAUAAAAAUUUUUGAAAUUUUUUGAAAUAGUUUAAUUCUAUUUAAUAUAA
rnacentral:tRNA from 1 species